rnacentral:rRNA from 1 species
GGUAUGUAAAGCUCUAUCAGCAGGGAAGAAAAUGACGGUACCUGACUAAGAAGCCCCGGCUAACUACGUGCCAGCAGCCGCGGUAAUACGUAGGGGGCAAGCGUUAUCCGGAUUUACUGGGUGUAAAGGGAGCGUAGACGGCGAAGCAAGUCUGAAGUGAAAACCCAGGGCUCAACCCUGGGAGUGCUUUGGAAACUGUUUUGCUAGAGUGUCGGAGAGGUAAGUGGAAUUCCUAGUGUAGCGGUGAAAUGCGUAGAUAUUAGGAGGAACACCAGUGGCGAAGGCGGCUUACUGGACGAUAACUGACGUUGAGGCUCGAAAGCGUGGGGAGCAAACAGGAUUAGAUACCCUGGUAGUCCACGCCGUAAA